UACGGGGGGGGCAAGCGUUGUUCGGAAUUACUGGGCGUAAAGGGCUCGCAGGCGGCCUACUAAGUCAGACGUGAAAUCCCUUGGCUUAACCAAGGAAUGGCGUCUGAUACUGGACGGCUUGAAUCCGGGAGAGGGAUGUGGAAUUCCAGGUGUAGCGGUGAAAUGCGUAGAUAUCUGGAGGAACACCGGUGGCGAAGGCGGCAUCCUGGACCGGUAUUGACGCUGAGGAGCGAAAGCCAGGGGAGCAAACGGG
rnacentral:rRNA from 1 species